rfam:Trichobilharzia regenti genome assembly, scaffold: TRE_scaffold0006252
GUACUGAUGAGGAGUCCCAAACUAGGACUAAACGACUGUCAAGUAC